UUACCUGCAGUCGAGCGCCCCGCAGGGGAGCGGCAGACGGGUGAGUAACGCGUGGGAACGUACCUUUUGCUACGGAAUAACUCAGGGAAACUUGUGCUAAUACCGUAUGUGCCCUUCGGGGGAAAGAUUUAUCGGCAAAGGAUCGGCCCGCGUUGGAUUAGCUAGUUGGUGAGGUAAAGGCUCACCAAGGCGACGAUCCAUAGCUGGUCUGAGAGGAUGAUCAGCCACACUGGGACUGAGACACGGCCCAGACUCCUACGGGAGGCAGCAGUGGGGAAUAUUGGACAAUGGGCGCAAGCCUGAUCCAGCCAUGCCGCGUGAGUGAUGAAGGCCCUAGGGUUGUAAAGCUCUUUCACCGGUGAAGAUAAUGACGGUAACCGGAGAAGAAGCCCCGGCUAACUUCGUGCCAGCAGCCGCGGUAAUACGAAGGGGGCUAGCGUUGUUCGGAUUUACUGGGCGUAAAGCGCACGUAGGCGGACUUUUAAGUCAGGGGUGAAAUCCCGGGGCUCAACCCCGGAACUGCCUUUGAUACUGGAAGUCUUGAGUAUGGUAGAGGUGAGUGGAAUUCCGAGUGUAGAGGUGAAAUUCGUAGAUAUUCGGAGGAACACCAGUGGCGAAGGCGG
rnacentral:rRNA from 1 species